CACGCGCGAGGGACGGCGGGAGUGGAGUCGGCGCGACCGCUGCUGUACUCUAUCUCCCGGCGGGCCGAGCGCUGAAGGCGGCGGCGCGGCGCCUUUGUGGAGGCAGCGGCCCGGCGCGGAGGAAGUUCCGGUCUCCGCGACGCUGGGUCGGUGGCGGCGGCUGAGGAUUAGGAGGAGCGGGCCGCGGAGGCCGCGCUGCCUCGGUACUACUAUAACCAGAGUUUGGUAGCAAAAGGAUCUACUUACUGGGCUCUCUUAACAUAGAAAGAGAUGUGGGGGGAUUCUCGAUCUGCUAACAGAACAGGACCUUUUCGUGGGAGCCAAGAAGAAAGGUUUGCUCCCGGGUGGAACAGGGAUUAUCCUCCUCCUCCCCUUAAGAGUCAUGCUCAAGAGAGACACUCUGGCAACUUUCCUGGCAGAGAUUCACUUCCCUUUGAUUUCCAGGGGCAUUCGGGGCCUCCCUUUGCAAAUGUAGAGGAGCAUUCUUUCAGCUAUGGAGCUAGAGACGGACCGCAUGGUGACUAUCGAGGAGGGGAGGGACCUGGACAUGAUUUUAGGGGGGGAGAUUUUUCAUCUUCUGAUUUCCAGAGCAGAGAUUCAUCACAGUUGGACUUCAGGGGUAGGGACAUACAUUCUGGGGAUUUUCGGGAUAGAGAAGGACCACCAAUGGACUAUAGGGGUGGAGAUGGGACUUCUAUGGAUUAUAGAGGUAGGGAGACAUCUCACAUGAACUACAGAGACAGGGAUGCUCACACUGUUGAUUUCAGAGGUAGGGAUGCUCCUUCAUCUGACUUCAGGGGCCGGGGCACUUACGAUUUAGAUUUUAGAGGCCGGGAUGGAUCCCACACCGAUUUUAGGGGACGAGAUUUAUCAGAUCUGGAUUUUAGGGCCAGAGAUCAGUCCCGUUCUGACUUUAGGAAUAGAGAUGUAUCUGAUUUGGACUUUAGGGACAAAGAUGGAACACAGGUGGACUUCAGAGGCCGAGGUUCAGGUACUAGUGAUCUAGACUUUAGGGACAGGGAUACGCCACAUUCAGAUUUCAGAGGUAGACACCGGUCCAGGACUGAUCAGGAUUUUAGGAGCAGAGAGGUGGGACCUUGUAUGGAGUUUAAAGAUAGGGAGAUGCCCUCUGUGGAUCCAAAUAUUUUGGAUUACAUACAACCCUCUACACAAGAUAGAGAACAUUCUGGUAUGAACGUGAACAAGAGAGAAGAAUCCACACAUGACCAUACAACAGAAAGGCCUGCUUUUGGCAUUCAGAAGGGAGAAUUUGAACAUUCAGAAACAAGAGAAGGAGAAAAACAAGAUGCGGCCUUUGAACAUGAGUCCACAUCGGACUUUCAAAACAGCCGGAGUCCACUUCAAGACCAAGACAAGUCACAGCUUUCUGGAGGGGAACAACAGAGUUCAGAUGCUGGUGUGUUUAAAGAAGAAGGUGGUCUGGACUUUCUUGGCCGGGAAGACACUGAUUACAGAAGCAUGGAGUACCGUGAUGUGGAUCACAGGCUGCCGGGAAGCCAGAUAUUUGGCUAUGGUCAGAGCAAGUCUUUUCCAGAGGGCAAAACCUCCCGAGAUGCCCAGCGGGACCUUCAGGAUCAAGAUUAUAGGACUGGCCCAAAUGAGGAAAAACCAAGCAAGCUUAUUCGAUUAAGUGGGGUGCCUGAAAAUGCCACAAAAGAAGAGAUUCUUAAUGCCUUUCGGACUCCUGAUGGCGUGCCUGUAAAGGACUUGGAGUUGAAGGAGUAUAACACAGGUUACGACUAUGGCUAUGUCUGCGUGGAGUUUUCACUCUUGGAAGAUGCCAUCGGAUGCAUGGAGGCCAACCAGGGGACUCUAAUGAUCCAUGACAAAGAGGUCACCCUUGAGUACAUACCAGGCCCAGAUUUUUGGUACUGCAAACGGUGUAAGGCCAGCGUAGCUGGACACCGAUCUUCAUGUUCACUCUGCAAGUGCUCAAGAGAAGUGACAGAAGCCAAGCAAGAAUUAAUAACCUAUCCUCAGCCUCAGAAAACAUCCAUACCAGCACCAUCAGAAAAACAACCCAACCAGUCCCCAAGGUCAGCUGAUAAGGAACCUGAACCCAAGAAGAGAGAAGAAGGACAAGAACCACGCUUGGGACAUCAAAAGAGAGAAGGAGAAAGGUAUCUACCUCCUCGAAGGGAAGGGCUCACCUUCCGAAGAGACCGAGAGAAGGAACCAUGGUCUGGGGAGACACGCCAGGAUGGGGAGAGCAAAACAAUUAUGCUAAAGCGCAUCUAUCGUUCCACUCCACCUGAGGUCAUAGUAGAAGUGCUGGAACCCUACGUCCGCCUUACUACUGCCAAUGUCCGUAUCAUCAAGAACAGAACCGGCCCCAUGGGCCACACUUAUGGCUUUAUUGAUCUCGACUCCCAUGCGGAAGCUCUUCGUGUAGUGAAGAUCUUGCAGAACCUUGAUCCACCAUUUAGUAUUGAUGGGAAGAUGGUAGCUGUAAACUUGGCCACCGGAAAACGAAGAAAUGAUUCUGGGGACCAUUCUGACCACAUGCACUACUAUCAGGGUAAAAAGUAUUUCCGAGACAGGAGAGGAGGAGGCAGAAAUUCAGACUGGGCUUCAGAUACAAAUCGACAAGGACAACAGUCAUCAUCUGACUGCUACAUAUAUGAUUCUGCUACUGGCUACUAUUAUGACCCUUUGGCAGGAACUUACUAUGACCCAAACACCCAGCAAGAAGUCUAUGUGCCCCAGGACCCUGGAUCACCUGAAGAAGAAGAGAUCAAGGAAAAGAAGUCCACCAGUCAAGGAAAGUCAAGUAGUAAGAAGGAAGCAUCUAAAAGAGAUGGAAAGGAGAAAAAAGACCGAGGAGUGACAAGGUUUCAGGAAAAUGCCACUGAGGGGACAGCCCCCCCAGAGGACGUCUUUAAGAAGCCCCUGCCUCCCACUGUGAAGAAGGAAGAAAGUCCUCCACCACCUAAGGUGGUAAACCCACUCAUCGGCCUCCUGGGUGAAUAUGGAGGAGACAGUGACUAUGAGGAGGAAGAGGAGGAGGAGCAGACGCCUCCUCCACAGCCCCGCACAGCCCAGCCCCAACAGAGGGAGGAGCUGACCAAGAAGGAGAACGAAGAAGAUAAACUCACUGACUGGAAUAAACUGGCUUGUCUGCUCUGCAGAAGGCAGUUUCCCAACAAAGAAGUUCUGAUCAAACACCAGCAGCUCUCAGACCUGCACAAGGUAUGGGGUAGCGGCCCUGACCUUUCAAACGUUGGCCUCUUACCAUCAUGUAUUACAGUCCAAUGAAUUGUUCCUCCACCUUUUGUCAGGAGUUGCUUUGCAUUAAGGCUGUGCGCACCUUCAGAAACCUUGGCAGGCAGCAUGGCUGGGGCUUGAGCCCCAGACUCCGGGGCUGUGCUGAAGACAGGAGGGGAGGGAGUCAUCAAGUCGGAGGCUUGUUUGCUGAGUUUCUCAUCAUAGCUCUUCUAUUAACCUAACAAUUGGACUUCAGAUAAGCCUCUUCUCUCCUGUGGUAUUUGGUGGCUUCCUCUGGUUCUGUCUAGUUCUGAUACUGUGCAGUUUUCCCAAAGGUGGGUCACAUUCUGCCAUCUCUUCAUGUGGUGAGUCACUGCUGUAAGCGGGGGCACAACGUCUGCUGUUAGAGAGUUAACCUGACACACACUGGCCCUCCCCUGCAUCUUCCCGCUCAGAUGUACUGGCCAAAGAGCCAAAUUCUGGACAAAUAAAACCCCUAGAUAGACUCUUGUUCUCAGUCUAGGGUGAUUUAUUUCACACUCCUUCUCUAGCAGAUGUUGCUAGAGCGGGUGAGGAAAUCAGAUUUAGACUUUCCUUCAAUAUAAAGUCCAAAGUCUUAUGUAGCUAAAAGCUGAGAAGCUCUGCUUUUGGUAAUAGGCCCCCCUUUUCUCCCAGCUGCCUCUGUGGAGGCUCUGCAGAGUUUCUAGGGGUCUGAGAAGUUCCUCACAAUCCCUGCAACAGAUUACCUCCCAGGUCCCUUUGACCUCGAAUUCUCAGUCAUGAGACUGACACAUUCAAAUUUCAGCUCUUUGAGGACGCCUGGCUUCCCCAGUCUGUAGAGCAUGUGACUCUUGAUCUUGGGGUUGUGAGUUCAAGCCCCACAUUGGGUGUAGAGCUUACUUUUAAAAAAAUUAAAUGAAAAAAAAGUUAAAGGAUAUAUAAAAUUAAAUAAUAAUAGAUUUCAGCUCUCUGAUGAAAAUGCUAAUAAAUGGCUGAUGUCAGGAAAGAGGAGCCAGAAAUCUGGUGAAUCCACGAAUUGAACUGACUCUGGGAUAGUGGAAAGUGGACUGUAGUACUUUUUUCCUUUCCUUGCAGUGAUGCAGUGCAAAGAAUCCCCAUCCAUACUGUACUGGACCCCUUAAGUUUCUUACAUAUGUUGGAGAGUAUUGUGUAGUAGAGCCAUGUUCGAGAAGUAUGGGACCCUUAAAGAACACAGGACUCUCCGAGCAGUCUUUUUGUUCUUUUAGCACCUUGGGUUCUCCUUUUCAUUUUUUCUGGAUGCUUGAAAAAGAGGAUAGUGUUCGAGGAUGCAAAACCUGGAAAUCCAUCGGAAGAUAAAACAAUCUGAGCAGGAGCUAGCCUAUCUGGAAAGGAGAGAACAGGAGGUAAG